GUCCAGACUCCUACGGGAGGCAGCAGUGAGGAAUAUUGGUCAAUGGGCGCGAGCCUGAACCAGCCAAGUAGCGUGAAGGAUGACUGCCCUACGGGUUGUAAACUUCUUUUAUAAAGGAAUAAAGUGAGGCACGUGUGCCUUUUUGUAUGUACUUUAUGAAUAAGGAUCGGCUAACUCCGUGCCAGCAGCCGCGGUAAUACGGAGGAUCCGAGCGUUAUCCGGAUUUAUUGGGUUUAAAGGGAGCGUAGGUGGAUUGUUAAGUCAGUUGUGAAAGUUUGCGGCUCAACCGUAAAAUUGCAGUUGAAACUGGCAGUCUUGAGUACAGUAGAGGUGGGCGGAAUUCGUGGUGUAGCGGUGAAAUGCAUAGAUAUCACGCAGAACUCCGAUUGCGAAGGCAGCUUACUAAACUAUAACUGACACUGAAGCACGAAAGCGUGAGGAUCAAACAGGAUUAGAUACCCCUGUAA
rnacentral:rRNA from 1 species